rnacentral:sRNA from 1 species
UUGGUUAAGGUACAUACAUGGCCUAUAGCCUAACUUGAAAUUUGUUCGUUUAGCUUUUUUACAUCUUUCAUCUAUUUUUUGUUACACCUGUUCGGUCGGAUUUUAAAAU